AUUGAACGCUGGCGGCAGGCCUAACACAUGCAAGUCGAGCGGAUGAAGGGAGCUUGCUCCUGGAUUCAGCGGCGGACGGGUGAGUAAUGCCUAGGAAUCUGCCUGGUAGUGGGGGAUAACGUCCGGAAACGGGCGCUAAUACCGCAUACGUCCUGAGGGAGAAAGUGGGGGAUCUUCGGACCUCACGCUAUCAGAUGAGCCUAGGUCGGAUUAGCUAGUUGGUGGGGUAAAGGCCUAACAAGGCGACGAUCCGUAACUGGUCUGAGAGGAUGAUCAGUCACACUGGAACUGAGACACGGUCCAGACUCCUACGGGAGGCAGCAGUGGGGAAUAUUGGACAAUGGGCGAAAGCCUGAUCCAGCCAUGCCGCGUGUGUGAAGAAGGUCUUCGGAUUGUAAAGCACUUUAAGUUGGGAGGAAGGGCAGUAAGUUAAUACCUUGCUGUUUUGACGUUACCAACAGAAUAAGCACCGGCCAACUUCGUG
rnacentral:rRNA from 1 species